ACAACAACAACGAGGAAAAAAUAAUAUUUUCCGGUCAUGAUUGUUCUGAAUACAACUGAAAUGAAUAUUGUUUUGAUUGAGAUUUUUUCGAAUUUUAAUCUCGGGAUUUAAUAUUGGUGAAAAAAAAUAACAUUCAACAACAACUUUCAGUUUGUGAAUGUUCUACAUUUCUCUAAUAAAAUUGAAUAUAUUACGUCAAUGCCUAAAACACACACACCUGCACAGCAUCAUCAUCAUCAUGAACAUGGACCAUUGAUGAUCCAGUGAAACAAAAAAAAAGACCAAAUCUGAAUUCAAGUGAAAAUAUAUUAUAGUUAACAUACACACACAUUUUGAAUUCCAUUUAUGUAAUUGUCAUUGUUGUCUAUGUUGUUCCAUCUGGAACACAUAAACUAACUACCGACAACAAACAGACCAGCGAAAAAAAAAUUAUCAAACGACAAACUGAAUGACAUUAUAAUAUAUACGCCUAUUCUAUGUUUUCAGACAAAUUGUUUUCGAAUUAAUUUCCACAUACACACACACAUGAGAAAAACAAAGAAACACCUGGAACAUGGUCGUCUAUAGAAUUAUUGAAAAAAAAAAUAACAACAAUGACGAUAGGCCAGGUAUACGAGAAUUUGAAAUCAUAAACCAUGACAAAAAUGAAACGAGAUGCAUUUUUUGUUUGUUUCUGUGUCUGUUUGUUGUUUAUUGUUAAUUCUCGAAAAAACAUGUCUACAUAUGAAUAAUAUAAUUCUAUAUUGAAAAUAGAAUACAUAAGAAUA